CCUGAAAUAAUGCUUACUAUUGCCUUUCAUACAGAAGAAAUGUGUGUUCUAUGAAAGCUUUAACUGAUACCCAUUGCUGGCUUGUGCAGAUCACAGGGAGAAAGACGUGGGCAUGUAUCAGCCCUGUGCAGACAUCAAUUUUUAGCCAUCUCUUCAUAAAGGUUUCCCAAGACUAAUCCAUGUGUAUGCACGAGUGCACAAAAACCUGUAUGACAUAUCAUCUUUGUUAUUUUAUGUAAAAGAAACUGAGCUUCACUUCUGAACUACUAUGCAAGACACGGUAAAGAUUACUGAAAAAGUC